rnacentral:rRNA from 1 species
GACGAACGCUGGCGGCGUGCUUAACACAUGCAAGUCGAACGGAAAGGCCCUGCUUUUGUGGGGUGCUCGAGUGGCGAACGGGUGAGUAACACGUGAGUAACCUGCCCUUGACUUUGGGAUAACUUCAGGAAACUGGGGCUAAUACCGGAUAGGAGCUCCUGCUGCAUGGUGGGGGUUGGAAAGUUUCGGCGGUUGGGGAUGGACUCGCGGCUUAUCAGCUUGUUGGUGGGGUAGUGGCUUACCAAGGCUUUGACGGGUAGCCGGCCUGAGAGGGUGACCGGCCACAUUGGGACUGAGAUACGGCCCAGACUCCUACUGGAGGCAGCAGUGGGGAAUAUUGCACAAUGGGCGGAAGCCUGAUGCAGCAACGCCGCGUGCGGGAUGACGGCCUUCGGGUUGGAAACCGCUUUCGCCUGUGACGAAGCGUGAGUGACGGUAAUGGGUAAAGAAGCACCGGCUAACUACGUG